GGGACACGUGGUAUCCUGUCUGAAUAUGGGGGGACCAUCCUCCAAGGCUAAAUACUCCUGACUGACCGAUAGUGAACCAGUACCGUGAGGGAAAGGCGAAAAGAACCCCGGCGAGGGGAGUGAAAAAGAACCUGAAACCGUGUACGUACAAGCAGUGGGAGCACGCUUAGGCGUGUGACUGCGUACCUUUUGUAUAAUGGGUCAGCGACUUAUAUUCUGUAGCAAGGUUAACCGAAUAGGGGAGCCGAAGGGAAACCGAGUCUUAACUGGGCGUUAAGUUGCAGGGUAUAGACCCGAAACCCGGUGAUCUAGCCAUGGGCAGGUUGAAGGUUGGGUAACACUAACUGGAGGACCGAACCGACUAAUGUUGAAAAAUUAGCGGAUGACUUGUGGCUGGGGGUGAAAGGCCAAUCAAACCGGGAGAUAGCUGGUUCUCCCCGAAAGCUAUUUAGGUAGCGCCUCGUGAAUUCAUCUCCGGGGGUAGAGCACUGUUUCGGCAAGGGGGUCAUCCCGACUUACCAACCCGAUGCAAACUGCGAAUACCGGAGAAUGUUAUCACGGGAGACACACGGCGGGUGCUAACGUCCGUCGUGAAGAGGGAAACAACCCAGACCGCCAGCUAAGGUCCCAAAGUCAUGGUUAAGUGGGAAACGAUGUGGGAAGGCCCAGACAGCCAGGAUGUUGGCUUAGAAGCAGCCAUCAUUUAAAGAAAGCGUAAUAGCUCACUGGUCGAGUCGGCCUGCGCGGAAGAUGUAACGGGGCUAAACC
rnacentral:rRNA from 1 species